rnacentral:rRNA from 1 species
UAAGCGGAGGAAAAGAAACUAACAAGGAUUCCCCUAGUAACUGCGAGUGAAGCGGGAAGAGCUCAAAUUUAAAAUCUGGUAGUCACACUGGCUGCCCGAGUUGUAAUCUGGAGAAGCGUUUUCCGUGCUGGACCCGUGUACAAGUCUCUUGGAAUAGAGCAUCAUAGAGGGUGAGAAUCCCGUCUCUGACAUGGGCUGCCAGUGCUUUCGUGAUACGCUCUCAAAGAGUCGAGUUGUUUGGGAAUGCAGCUCAAAAUGGGUGGUAAAUUCCAUCUAAAGCUAAAUAACGGCGUGAGACCGAUAGCGAACAAGUACCGUGAGGGAAAGAUGAAAAGAACUUUGGAAAGAGAGUUAAACAGUACGUGAAAUUGUUGAAAGGGAAACGCUUGAAGUCAGUCGUGUCAGCUGGGGAUCAGCCUUGCAGCUUGUGAGGUGCACUUCCCAGUUGAUGGGUCAGCAUCAAUUUUGACCAUUGGAUAAGGGCCAAGGGAAUGUGGCAUCUUUGAUGUGUUAUAGCCUUUGGUCGCAUACGAUGGUUGGGAUUGAGGAGUUUUCAGCACGCCGCAAGGCCCAGGAUUCUUCCAUGUACGUGCUUAGGAUGCUGGCAUAAUGGCUUUA